ACGCGCCCGGGGCGGCGGCAGCGGCGGCGGCGGCGGCAGCGGGGAAGCCGGGGCUGGCUAGCAGUGCCCUUUUGUCCAUGGAGGCUGCAGCGGCGGCGGCGACGACUGUCGCCCCCUCCCCACCCCCGGCGGUCACCAGUCCGAGUUUCCAAGUCUCUCCUUCUCUCCUCCCCGCCCGGCGCUUCCGAGCCCCUUCUCUCUCUUUUUUAUUUUUCGGCACCGCACGGGCCCCGGGGGCCAAAAAUAAUCGGGGAUCUGGAGAGAGGAGGGUCCCGGCCGCACGGAUAUCGGGCCCCAAAGAGGGAUGGAGGCGUCGGGGGCGGCCGAUGCAACGGAUUGCGAGUCGGCAGCGGCAGCCCGGGUGCUGCGGCCGGCAGCUGAAAAAUGGCUCCAGGAAGCUGCUGCUGACAAUGAAUGAAGGGAUACGGUUUACGCGCCAAGGUCCUCCCGCGAAACUCAGAUUUCCCGCCGGCUUUUCAAAUGAUAUUUGCAUAUCCCCGCCCCUCAACCCGCGGAGGACCGUUCCCACAGCUCAUUGGGUCUCUAUCUCCUUACUUCAAUCCCAAUCGUUGAGCGGGACCGAGACUUGAUGGUUUCCAUUGGCUGCCAUGCAUCAUGGUUACCGGGGCGACAGGGGUCCUAUUUGCAUAGCCCUCCUUGAUUGGCUGGAAUUUUAGGGGGUGGGGCCAAGCCAUUUUCUCCCACGGAAGACCACGCCUGGUAUAGGCUCCGCCCAGGUGCCCGCCCACCAGCCAGGCGGGCGCUGCUGACCUGGGCAGGGACUCCGCUCCUUGCCGACUCAGUGUCGGUCUAUUCUAGAGCGCAAGUUUCGCUUUUGGAAAUUGUCAAGGUGACCAAGGGGACACCUUCGGGAACGCUCUUUCCUUUGACUAGUCAGUGUAGGAGAUGAACAACUGGAGAUUCUCCUAUGUGACUAAGGCAAGUUGAACUAUGCGGACGAUGCCUGGCAGGUGGAAACUGAGCCCUUUAAAUCAUGGGUUUCUCCCUUCCUGAAAUCCAACCAAUGCCGCGGCGAGAGCUGAUCCGGAGGCCGACGCUGAUAGACAGAAGCAUGUGGGCAGAUAGAAUUGUGAGGACAGAGGGUUGGACUGACCUGAAAGCGAGCACUAUUUAGUUAACAUUCCAGAUCAUUCCUGGUAGCUUCAUUAUAGGCCUGGAUUGGUUUUAAGUAAAAAUUAACUCUAAAUGUUUUGUUGAGUGAAAUCUCAUAAGUGUUGGUCCGAGUCUAGCAAACACCUCACACUGGCCCAAAAGCACCUAGGUAAGUUAAUCAAGGCUAACCUAAGAUUCAUCUGCGGGUUUCUAAUCAGCCAAGCAGUAACCCAGAGAAGUACACGCUUCCCUCCGUGAUGUUUUGCUCCCAACCAGUUCUGCUGCAACAGCCCUUUACAAUCUGUUUCAUAGCAAGUUACCUGCCAAAGCAAACGCGACGACCCAAACUUAUUCCAAGAUAUUUAAAUAGAGCUUUUUUUUAGUAAACUAGGAAUUGUCACCAAAAAAAAAUAUUAAGUUAUUGUCAAAUUGACAUCUAUAUUGGUGCAAGUAUUCGUGGUUCUUAAAAUUGAAGACUGCACCUGUGAGACUGAGCAGGAACUUCUGCAGGAAUGUGGGGGAGAGGUGUACUUGUCAGGUCAUCAUAUACAAUUCCAGUCGCUGAGAAUUGUACAAAAUAUCUGCUGAGUUGGUGUUUACUGGGUGAUGAGGAUUACAAUACCUCAAGCCCCUUCCCAAGACUUUAUUUUUAUUAUCAUUAUUAAUAAUAAUUCCUGAACACUCAUAUAUACUCAGUCUUAUGCAAGGCCUGAAAAGAUGUAUCAAUUCAGGCUCAGGACUGAAUUGGGACUGAAACUCCUAAUGUUUCAGUCCUGUUACUUUGUUGGAAACAAAAUGAGCUAUUAAAUCUUGCACCAGGCAGAAUAUGUUGGUCCUGCACUCAAGCUAGUUAAGGAUCCAUGGCCUAGUACUCAAAUAUCUAUGGACCCAAACAUUUAUAAUAGAACUGGCACCAAUUUUAGGACAUAUUUAUUAGGUGGUACAUCAAUUCCUGGUUGGGUUAGAGGCUAAUGCAUUAGCAACUUCCUUGAUAUUGUUCUAUCAGUGUUGUUUUCCACUGUGGGUCACCGUGGAGAAAACUAAUGCUGUAACUACUUAGCUAUUACCUGCUGCAGAACAUCGCUGGUAGCAUGCAUUUGGUGGUGGUGAGGGUUGUGGGUGAAGGGUGCUGCAGCAUAGUCAUUAUAAACCUGUGUCUUCAGAUUAGAGGCAAACCUAGGAUUUGGGACUGUGUACAAGAUCCCUGCUAGAACUUGCACAAGUGAUUGCAAUAAGAUGACUGACACAGCCACAGAGAAGCAAGUGUUCACAGUCCAGAUCCAUACCUUUGAUUCUGAUUUAAAAAGCUUUGAAAUAUGUACCAUCUUUCCUUAGCCAACAUUAUAUUUUUUAAUAUAGGGUAUUUGGCAGAGAAACAGAUAUUUUGACCUUUUAUGUCUAGUGACCCCAGACUGAGGAGGUGGAAGGAAGAGUUCAAAGAGAGAAGAGGUAUUGGAAGAUGAGAUGCUAAAAUUUGAGGUAAGAAUCUCAAAAUGAGAUUAUCCUGGAUUAGAGUGGGCUCAAAAUCCAAUAUCGUUUAUUUUAUAAGAGAAGAGGAGAGAAGAUUCUGAGAAGAAAUCAUGUGAAAACAGGCAGAGACUGAAGUUAUGUGUCUACAAACCAAGAAACACUAAAGAUUGCCUGCAGCCACCAGAAAUAGGAGAAAGAUGGAAUAGAUUUUCCCUGAGAGCCUGCGGAAGGAACCAGUCCUGCUGACAUCCUAAUUUCGAACUUUUGGGCAACUCCAGAAAUGAGAGAGAAUAAAUUUCUGUUGUUUUAAGCCACCAA